UCAUGCAAAUUGUGUGGAGCGUCGAGAGCGCGCUCAGUGAUUGAUUUGUUAUGUUUUUUCUACUUCUGCUCCCCUCCUGCAAUUUCAACGACAGCU